rnacentral:tRNA from 1 species
UCCCUUGUGGUUCAGUGGGUUAAGGAUUUAGCAUUGUCACUGCUAUGGCACAGUUUCAGUCCCUGUCGCAGGAA